rnacentral:pre_miRNA from 1 species
AUUUGGCACUUGUGGAAUAAUCGGUAUAAAUAACAAGAUUAUACACCGGUGCCAAAUAA